UAAUUCAAUGAUUUAUUAUUUUGAAAGAAAUUGGACUCGGAGCUCAGGACGAACGAACCAACGAAAACCCUUAGCAAAUCGCGGAAGUGAGGUACCGCUGGGAUCGAUGGGAACGAGUAGUGGCGAGGAUUUCACUUUAAUAAUUCCCACCUAGUUUAUGCCUUAAGUUUUAAUAGUUUAAUUACAGACUUUUAGUAAUUUAUGUACCUUUAUUUUGGUAAUAUAAAAGAUUAUUAUAUUGA